rnacentral:rRNA from 1 species
UACAGAGGUCUCAAGCGUUGUUCGGAUUCAUUGGGCGUAAAGGGCGCGUAGGCUGCGGGGCAAGUCGGGUGUGAAAUCUCAGAGCUCAACUCUGAAACUGCACUCGAUACUGCUUUGCUUGAGGACUGGAGAGGAGAUUGGAAUUCACGGUGUAGCAGUGAAAUGCGUAGAUAUCGUGAGGAAGACCAGUGGCGAAGGCGGAUCUCUGGACAGUUCCUGACACUGAGGCGCGAAGGCCAGGGGAGCAAACGGG